AGAUUGAACGCUGGCGGCAUGCCUUACACAUGCAAGUCGAACGGCAGCACGGGAGCAAUCCUGGUGGCGAGUGGCGAACGGGUGAGUAAUACAUCGGAACGUGCCCAAUCGUGGGGGAUAACGCAGCGAAAGCUGUGCUAAUACCGCAUAAGAUCUACGGAUGAAAGCAGGGGAUCGCAAGACCUUGCGCGAAUGGAGCGGCCGAUGGCAGAUUAGGUAGUUGGUGAGGUAAAGGCUCACCAAGCCUUCGAUCUGUAGCUGGUCUGAGAGGACGACCAGCCACACUGGGACUGAGACACGGCCCAGACUCCUACGGGAGGCAGCAGUGGGGAAUUUUGGACAAUGGGCGAAAGCCUGAUCCAGCCAUGCCGCGUGCAGGAUGGAGGCCUUCGGUUGUAAACUGCUUUGUACGACGAAAGUCUCUUUACUAAUAAAGAGGUAUCAUGACGUACCGUAAGAAUAAGCACGCUAACUACGUACG
rnacentral:rRNA from 1 species